UUGAUGAAACACAAUUCAAAGGUUCAAUGUUCCACUUCAGGCAAAGACAUGUGUAGGUAGAGGGAUUCUACAGGGUCGUCCUGAGAUCACAUGAAGUAGAAUAUAAGCAGCCAUAUUUGCUUCUUGUCUCGUGUUCUCAGCUCAUGUGUUCUCAGGUCGCCCCUGCUGGACUAUUCUCUACCAACUGAUUGGGGAUGCACUCGCCACAAAUGAAAAUGGAGCAAGGAGUGUGAUUCCAAUUGCAUGAAUGUGAUUCGGUAAUUAAGCUACAUUUUUUUUUAAAAUUAACAAAUAUUAGUUUGUUAGUUUUAUUAAAAAUGUCCAUAGAAAGAUUUGAACUCCCUCUUCCUCCCUCCUUCUCCCUUCAUCCUUUAGCCCCCAUUCCCACCCACCAAGCUAACCUUAUUCCCUGUGUUUGUUAAUAUUGAAAUGGAGUGGAAAUGAAGGGAAAGUUUCAAAAUUUAGUGUGGGUUACACACCUUCACCACACUACUUUAAUUUAGAUAUUUUUUCUGAUUUCUAUUUUAUUCCAUUUCCAUUCACUCUAUCAAACACACCCUGUAUCUCCAGGUAAUUAAGCUACAUGAUUGCCUUAUGUUUAUGGAAUUGCAUAUUUUCAGGCCAGGCACCUGUAUCUAAUAGGUACCAUACCUUAAAACAAUUACAACAAAGUCCAUGAUUUUGCCAAAGUCCAUCCAUGUCUGUGAUUUUUUUAGUGUCACAAUCCAUUGCCAUUGGUUUUUUAUUUUUCCUUAUCUGUUGUAUAACUAAACUCUAGCUUUUUAGCUGCUUCAAGUAUGGAUUCCUCAACUUGGAAAAUGUUCUUUGAAGUCAAUAAAGAACUUUUGAACUUUGUCCACCAAGUAUCUUUCAUCUAUCAGUUCUGCAAGCUGAAGUGUUGAAUCCACAAGCUGCUUGUUGCAGAGUUGUGAUGUUAGAAGGCAUCUACAAAGAAGUUCAAGCAAAACUCUUUUUGGCAUAUUUGCUGCCACAGAAGGAACUUUACUGAGAAUUCCAACAAGCCAUGCAGACAAAGAAGAAAGAUAAUGACUUUCUUGAAACUCUGACCUCCAGUGUGAAAUCCUAAUACUUGGGUUAUUUACCAUUUUUUUUUCAAAAAUGGUAUGAGAACAAUAAUGAAGAAACUAAGCAUGCAAAACUGCAAAAGUCAUGCUAUAAAAAAAAAAAUCUAAAAACAGAGAAGAGGGAAAUUUGUGUUUGGGGAGAGCCACAACAAAAACAGAGGAAAAUUGGGAGAGAGGAAAGUUUGGGAGAAAUAUUUUUUUUUAGAAAAAACAGAUUAUGGGACACAAUAUUUUUAAAUAGUUUUACCAUCUAACUCAAUCACAAACCACAACCAAUCAAUUGAGAAUCCAACACAAAUCAAUGUAACUUAUGGGACACAAUAUUUUAAAAUAAAAAUAAAAUAAUAAACAACAUCUUAAAAACAUAUCUUUUCUUAAGUAAAUAAGUUAGAAUAAAUAGUAAACAGAACCUUGGUAUAUAUGAACGUCCAUUAUGUAAAAAGCCAGAGAAAAAUAUUGGCAUACUUAAAAGUGGCACAUACCAGAAAUUAGAUUGGCAAGUUAGCUUUUUUGCAUUUUAUUUGUUGUGAACUUUUCUUUGGUGAAAAACUUAGUAAAUAUUUUUUUUUAUCUGGCAUAGAAUAACCAUCAUAUAUUUCUCCUAAAAUUAGACAAUAUCGUGUUUUAAUUUUCACAAACUCGUAACAGAAGGAAAGAAGCAGGUGGACAUCCAUAAUUUUGUGUCCUGCUUUUACUCUAAUCACAUAGACUCGGUGUCUACAAACACGUUAAUUCCAUUGAUCCCCUCCUUGAAGCUAAGAUAUUCUGAAUACUAAGCAAAACAGAAUGUUUAAUUUUAUCCUUGUUCUCAUAGUUAAAAUAUCCCAUCAUUACAACAUCUAGACACCCUCUAAUUAUAUCUUGAAAAAGUAGUAGUGUAAAAACCUUAAUUUGUAUCAUAGUCGUAGCUCAAUUCCCAAGGUCCUUCGCUUCUCCAUUUUGCCAUGGAACAAAAGCAGAUAAUUAUAAGUUUGAAAUCUUCAUAAAAGAUACAGUUAGGAAAGAAAAGAUCUUCCUAUCCUUAAGAGCUAUAAAAACGAUUUAUUCUGCAAUAAUCUUCAACCAUGGGAGGAACCAAGAACGAACGAAGCAUAUGGAAUAAGAAGAGAAAAAUCAUGAUGCUUGUCAAUAAACAACAUUUUUUCAAGUUGACAAUUCAAAGCAAAGACCUGCUAUGAUGUCUGUGCCUCAGUUUGGAGGGUGGGACCAAAAAGGCUUUUAGGCUCUGUUUAUUAAAAAAGGAAGGAAGAAGGGAGAAGAGAGGAAAAGAAGAAGUCAUCAAAUUUUUUCAUGGUAGGAGUUUCAAGUUCCCACAAAAGUUUACUUUUUUUUCCCUUUCAACCAACCACUUUCCCCCAGCUUUGGUCCAUGCACCCCUGAUCACUCACACAUGGAUCAAUGACUAGGUAGAGUAUUGUCAAAUGCAACGUGCAACCUAGAGAAUGAUUAGAAGGGGAGAGAUGUACAAACUAUUAAUACAAGUUUAUUUCGACUUUUAUAUCA